rnacentral:misc_RNA from 1 species
GAUGAAGAACGUAGUGAAAUGCGAUAAGUAGUGUGAAUUGCAGAAUUCAGUGAAUCAUCGAAUCUUUGAACGCACAUUGCGCCCUUUGGUAUUCCAAUGGGCAUGCCUGUUCGAGCGUCAUUUGUACCCUCAAGCUUUGCUUGGUGUUGGGCGUCUUGUCUCUAGCUUUGCUGGAGACUCGCCUUAAAGUAAUUGGCAGCCGGCCUACUGGUUUCGGAGCGCAGCACAAGUCGCACUCUCUAUCAGCAAAGGUCUAGCAUCCAUUAAGCCUUUUUUUCAACUUUUGACCUCGGAUCAGGUAGGGAUACCCGCUGAACUUAAGCAUAUCAAUAAGCGGAGGA